rnacentral:sRNA from 1 species
UGAGUGCUAUGCUUAGGUACCUGAAACAAGAAGGCAGAGAUACAACCGCAUUGAUGGCCCAUGUAGAAGACCUGAUCAUUAAGACUAUAAUCUCUGCUGAACUAGCUAUUGCUACUGCCUGUAAAACCUUUGUUCCUCAUCGCAGCAGUUGUUUUGAACUCUAUGGCUUUGACGUGCUCAUAGAUUCUACUCUGAAGCCAUGGUUGUUGGAAGUGAAUCUCUCUCCUUCUUUGGCCUGUGAUGCGCCUCUGGACCUAAAGAUUAAAGCCAGUAUGAUUUCAGAUAUGUUCACUGUUGUAGGAUUUGUGUGCCAAGAUCCUGCCCAGCGGGCAUCAACUCGGCCAAUUUAUCCCACCUUUGAGUCUUCCAGGCGAAACCCUUUCCAGAAACCUCAGCGUCCAGUAUCUGCACAGUUUCACUCGUCAAAGGCCAAGCAGCGUUGCCGUCCACUCUCUGCCAGUGAUGCGGAAAUGAAAAACCUCGUGGGCUCAGCCCGGGAGAAAGGGCCAGGGAAGUUGGGUGGUUCUGUGCUUGGUCUGUCAAUGGAGGAGAUCAAAGUUUUACGAAGGGUGAAGGAGGAGAAUGAUCGGCGAGGUGGAUUUAUUCGCAUAUUUCCUACAUCUGAGACAUGGGAAAUAUAUGGGUCCUACCUCGAGCAUAAGACCUCAAUGAACUAUAUGCUGGCAACACGCCUCUUCCAGGACA